GGUUAAGCGAACAAGCGUACACGGUGGAUGCCCUGGCAGUCAGAGGCGAUGAAGGACGUGCUAAUCUGCGAAAAGCGCCGGUAAGGUGAUAUGAACCGUUAUAACCGGCGAUGUCCGAAUGGGGAAACCCGGUGCACUUCGGUGCAUCAUCGUUAGCUGAAUACAUAGGCUAACGAGGCGAACCGGGGGAACUGAAACAUCUAAGUACCCCGAGGAAAAGAAAUCAACCGAGAUUCCCCCAGUAGCGGCGAGCGAACGGGGAACAGCCCAGAGCCUGAAUCAGCUUGUGUGUCAGUGGAACGGUCUGGAAAGGCCGGCGAUACAGGGUGACAGCCCCGUACACGAAGGCACACAGGCUGUGAGCUCGAUGAGUAGGGCGGGACACGUGAUAUCCUGUCUGAAGAUGGGGGGACCAUCCUCCAAGGCUAAAUACUCCUGACUGACCGAUAGUGAACCAGUACCGUGAGGGAAAGGCGAAAAGAACCCCGGCGAGGGGAGUGAAACAGAACCUGAAACCGUGUACGUACAAGCAGUGGGAGCCUUCGUAAGAGGGUGACUGCGUACCUUUUGUAUAAUGGGUCAGCGACUUAUAUUCUGUAGCAAGGUUAACCGUAUAGGGGAGCCGAAGGGAAACCGAGUCUUAACCGGGCGUUAAGUUGCAGGGUAUAGACCCGAAACCCGGUGAUCUAGCCAUGGGCAGGUUGAAGGUUGGGUAACACUAACUGGAGGACCGAACCGACUAAUGUUGAAAAAUUAGCGGAUGACCUGUGGCUGGGGGUGAAAGGCCAAUCAAACCGGGAGAUAGCUGGUUCUCCCCGAAAGCUAUUUAGGUAGCGCCUCGUGAACUCAUCUCCGGGGGUAGAGCACUGUUUCGGCUAGGGGGCCAUCCCGGCUUACCAACCCGAUGCAAACUGCGAAUACCGGAGAAUGUUAUCACGGGAGACACACGGCGGGUGCUAACGUCCGUCGUGAAGAGGGAAACAACCCAGACCGCCAGCUAAGGUCCCAAAGUCAUGGUUAAGUGGGAAACGAUGUGGGAAGGCCCAGACAGCCAGGAUGUUGGCUUAGAAGCAGCCAUCAUUUAAAGAAAGCGUAAUAGCUCACUGGUCGAGUCGGCCUGCGCGGAAGAUGUAACGGGGCUAAACCAUGCACCGAAGCUGCGGCAGCGACACUAUGUGUUGUUGGGUAGGGGAGCGUUCUGUAAGCCUGUGAAGGUGUGCUGUGAGGCAUGCUGGAGGUAUCAGAAGUGCGAAUGCUGACAUAAGUAACGAUAAAGCGGGUGAAAAGCCCGCUCGCCGGAAGACCAAGGGUUCCUGUCCAACGUUAAUCGGGGCAGGGUGAGUCGACCCCUAAGGCGAGGCCGAAAGGCGUAGUCGAUGGGAAACAGGUUAAUAUUCCUGUACUUGGUGUUACUGCGAAGGGGGGACGGAGAAGGCUAUGUCGGCCGGGCGACGGUUGUCCCGGUUUAAGCGUGUAGGCUGACUUUCCAGGCAAAUCCGGAAGGUUAAGGCUGAGGCGUGAUGACGAGGCACCACGGUGCUGAAGUGACAAAUGCCCUGCUUCCAGGAAAAGCCUCUAAGCAUCAGGUAACAUCAAAUCGUACCCCAAACCGACACAGGUGGUCAGGUAGAGAAUACCAAGGCGCUUGAGAGAACUCGGGUGAAGGAACUAGGCAAAAUGGUGCCGUAACUUCGGGAGAAGGCACGCUGACAUGUAGGUGAAGCCCCUGCGGGUGGAGCUGAAGUCAGUCGAAGAUACCAGCUGGCUGCAACUGUUUAUUAAAAACACAGCACUGUGCAAACACGAAAGUGGACGUAUACGGUGUGACGCCUGCCCGGUGCCGGAAGGUUAAUUGAUGGGGUUAUCGCAAGAGAAGCUCCUGAUCGAAGCCCCGGUAAACGGCGGCCGUAACUAUAACGGUCCUAAGGUAGCGAAAUUCCUUGUCGGGUAAGUUCCGACCUGCACGAAUGGCGUAAUGAUGGCCAGGCUGUCUCCACCCGAGACUCAGUGAAAUUGAACUCGCUGUGAAGAUGCAGUGUACCCGCGGCAAGACGGAAAGACCCCGUGAACCUUUACUACAGCUUGACACUGAACAUUGAGCCUUGAUGUGUAGGAUAGGUGGGAGGCUUUGAAGCGUGGACGCCAGUCUGCGUGGAGCCGACCUUGAAAUACCACCCUUUAAUGUUUGAUGUUCUAACCUGGCGCCGUGAUCCGGCGUGGGGACAGUGUCUGGUGGGUAGUUUGACUGGGGCGGUCUCCUCCCAAAGUGUAACGGAGGAGCACGAAGGUCAGCUAAUCCUGGUCGGACAUCAGGAGGUUAGUGCAAUGGCAUAAGCUGGCUUGACUGCGAGAGUGACGGCUCGAGCAGGUGCGAAAGCAGGUCAUAGUGAUCCGGUGGUUCUGUAUGGAAGGGCCAUCGCUCAACGGAUAAAAGGUACUCCGGGGAUAACAGGCUGAUACCGCCCAAGAGUUCAUAUCGACGGCGGUGUUUGGCACCUCGAUGUCGGCUCAUCACAUCCUGGGGCUGAAGUAGGUCCCAAGGGUAUGGCUGUUCGCCAUUUAAAGUGGUACGCGAGCUGGGUUUAGAACGUCGUGAGACAGUUCGGUCCCUAUCUGCCGUGGGCGCUGGAGAAUUGAGGGGGGCUGCUCCCAGUACGAGAGGACCGGAGUGGACGCAUCACUGGUGUUCGGGUUGUCAUGCCAAUGGCACUGCCCGGUAGCUAAAUGCGGAAGAGAUAAGUGCUGAAAGCAUCUAAGCACGAAACUUGCCCCGAGAUGAGUUCUCCCUGAGACUGUAAGUCUCCUGAAGGAACGUUGAAGACGACGACGUUGAUAGGCCGGGUGUGUAAGCGCAGCGAUGCGUUGAGCUAACCGGUACUAAUGAACCGUGAGGCUUAACCUU
rnacentral:rRNA from 1 species